CAAAGCAGACCCUCCGAGUUUGCUCACAGGAACAAGCUGGGUUGCACAGCUGCUGGCACACAAGAAACAAAAGGACCCUUGAAAUAACUUCCUUAUGGAGGCAUGAACAAAGCCCUGCCAACCUGUCAGUCCAGCCAUGCAAGAGAAAGAGAAAGGGAGAGAGACAGAGAAAAAGAAAGGGAAUGGAACAGGGAUUCUUUUAGAUCUCAGCAGACAUUAAGAUUUCCAAUGAACAGAGAAAACAAAUAGCCACUGGGACCACACAUGCGUUCUGUAA
rnacentral:lncRNA from 1 species